CAGCCGCCACGGUAAUACGAAGGGGGCUAGCGUUGUUCGGAUUUACUGGGCGUAAAGCGCACGUAGGCGGAUCGAUCAGUCAGGGGUGAAAUCCCAGAGCUCAACUCUGGAACUGCCUUUGAUACUGUCGAUCUGGAGUAUGGAAGAGGUGAGUGGAAUUCCGAGUGUAGAGGUGAAAUUCGUAGAUAUUCGGAGGAACACCAGUGGCGAAGGCGGCUCACUGGUCCAUUACUGACGCUGAGGUGCGAAAGCGUGGGGAGCAAACAGGAUUAGAUACCCCGGUAGUCCCUGUCUCUUAUAC
rnacentral:rRNA from 1 species